rnacentral:tRNA from 1 species
CGCGGGUUGGAGCAGUGGUUAACUCGUCGGGCUCAUAACCCGAAGAUCGCAGGUUCGAGCCCUGCACCCGCCACCA